AGCGGCGGACGGGUGAGUAACACGUGGGUAACCUGCCUGUAAGACUGGGAUAACUCCGGGAAACCGGAGCUAAUACCGGAUAGUUCCUUGAACCGCAUGGUUCAAGGAUGAAAGACGGUUUCGGCUGUCACUUACAGAUGGACCCGCGGCGCAUUAGCUAGUUGGUGGGGUAAUGGCUCACCAAGGCGACGAUGCGUAGCCGACCUGAGAGGGUGAUCGGCCACACUGGGACUGAGACACGGCCCAGACUCCUACGGGAGGCAGCAGUAGGGAAUCUUCCGCAAUGGACGAAAGUCUGACGGAGCAACGCCGCGUGAGUGAUGAAGGUUUUCGGAUCGUAAAGCUCUGUUGUUAGGGAAGAACAAGUGCGAGAGUAACUGCUCGCACCUUGACGGUACCUAACCAGAAAGCCACGGCUAACUACGUGCCAGCAGCCGCGGUAAUACGUAGGUGGCAAGCGUUGUCCGGAAUUAUUGGGCGUAAAGGGCUCGCAGGCGGUUUCUUAAGUCUGAUGUGAAAGCCCCCGGCUCAACCGGGGAGGGUCAUUGGAAACUGGGAAACUUGAGUGCAGAAGAGGAGAGUGGAAUUCCACGUGUAGCGGUGAAAUGCGUAGAGAUGUGGAGGAACACCAGUGGCGAAGGCGACUCUCUGGUCUGUAACUGACGCUGAGGAGCGAAAGCGUGGGGAGCGAACAGGAUUAGAUACCCUGGUAGUCCACGCCGUAAACGAUGAGUGCUAAGUGUUAGGGGGUUUCCGCCCCUUAGUGCUGCA
rnacentral:rRNA from 1 species